rnacentral:snRNA from 1 species
GUGCUCACUUCGGCAGCACACAUACUAAAAUUGGAAUGAUACAGAGAAGGUUAGCAUGGUCCCUGCGCAAGGAUGACACUCAAAUCCAUGAAGCAUUCUAUAAAAAA